GUCUCUCGGUCUCUUUCACCUUCGACUCUCGGCCGACGCAGGAACAAACAUGAUGGCGUGCUUAUUUCAAACAUCUUAUUGUUCCUUUGUCACUUUUAAACUAUCCAACUAUUUAAUUCCACAAGUUUACAGGCCGUGUCCGAGUUGAAGGCGGAGAAGAUGACGUCACGCGACCAAAUGUAAGUGAACCUCAAAGUCCACGAUGACGACAAAUCACGUGCACUUCUGGACGGGAGCAGUCCUGAUGGCCGCUGUCCAGUUUGCCGAGUGGGACUUCCUGUCCAGAAUCACAGGACUUCCUGUCUACUUCCAUGUGGGAUGAUUCAAGCGGGAAAACAGUUGUCCCAAUUCAGUCUGCGUCCUUAGAGCUAAUUUGAAGGCUGUCUGUGUUCAUUUAAAUUGACAGGCUCAGAAAAAUGUGCUGUCUUUUUUUUUUUUUUGUCUUCCGUGGCCUCACAUAUUCCAACAUGUUGUGUGUCUUUGUUCAAGCCAGCUGUCCUGAGGGGUUUUGUGUGAAAACUUCAUUAAAGAAUACUCUAAAUGA